AAUAAAUUUAAAAUUUGGCAAAAGAGUUUAUGUGGCAAUAAUAGAAUAAGUAAAAGAGAUGUCAUUCUCUAAUUGCAAGAAAAUAUAGGUAUUAACUUUUAUGUAGAUAAGAUAGAUAGAUAAGAUAGAUAGAAGGAUAGAUGGUUGGCAUACUUAUGCUACUCGAUCUUAUACCUUGUUAAAAGAUUCAAUACUC